UCCGGAGGGUGCGAGCGUUAUCCGGAAUUACUGGGUUUAAAGGGUGCGUAGGCGGCUAUGUAAGUCAGGAGUGAAAGUUUGCGGCUCAACCGUAAAAUUGCUUUUGAUACUGCAUGGCUGGAAUCAGGAUGAGGUCAGCGGAAUGUGGCAUGUAGCGGUGAAAUGCAUAGAUAUGCCAUAGAACACCAAUUGCGAAGGCAGCUGGCUAGACCUGUAUUGACGCUGAGGCACGAAAGCGUGGGGAUCAAACAGG
rnacentral:rRNA from 1 species